GAGGAUAGAUUAUAUUUAAAGCGUGUCUCAGACGAGCCCAGUACCUGGCCUACACGAAGGAGAGGCAAGAAUUGCACUAAACCUAAUUCGAAGAUGAAGUUGGUUCUCGUCGCCAUGAUUGUCCUGACUCUGAUCGGCACCGCACGGUGCUGUGACUGCCACUUCUCACCUCUUGAUGAUUGCAUUGACCAAGGGUGUAAUCAAGGAGACCCGAAAAACCUCCGUUGCAGCCACGACUGUAUGUGUUCCAAGUCUUUCUGCGGUUCUGGCUAUCACUAUUACUGCCAAAAAAGUCACCACGGCUGAGAAGGCGGACGAACAUGGAGCCGACUGCAAUAAAUGUUGCCGAAACAUCC